ACUGCCGCCGGACGGUGCGGGUCGUGAGGAGGAACAGGAUUCCCCACAGACGGGCCCGACCGAGAAUCGCCAGGGUUUACAGGGAGCCCUGACGGAUUCGCUCCGGCGAAGGAG
rnacentral:sRNA from 12 species